rnacentral:rRNA from 1 species
GACGAACCGUGCGAACGUUAUUCGGAAUCACUGGGCUUAAAGCGCGUGUAGGCGGGCCGCCGCGUCGGCUGCUGAAAUCCCCCGGCUCAACCGGGGAACGGGCACCGAUACGGGCGGCCUCGAGGGGGGUAGGGGGGUCUGGAACUUCCGGUGGAGCGGUGAAAUGCGUUGAGAUCGGAAGAACACCGGUGGCGAAGGCGGCCUGCUGGGCAGUAGCUGACACUGAGGCGCGACAGCGUGGGGAGCAAACAGG